rnacentral:rRNA from 1 species
UGGGGAAUAUUGCGCAAUGGGGGAAACCCUGACGCAGCAACGCCGCGUGAGUGAAGAAGGCCUUCGGGUUGUAAAGCUCUUUAAUCAGGGACGAAGAAUGACGGUACCUGAGGAAUAAGCUCCGGCUAACUACGUGCCAGCAGCCGCGGUAAUACGUAGGGAGCAAGCGUUAUCCGGAUUUACUGGGUGUAAAGGGCGUGUAGGCGGGCCUGCAAGUCAGAAGUGAAAUCUGGGGGCUUAACCCCCAAACUGCUUUUGAAACUGCGGGUCUUGAGUGAUGGAGAGGCAGGCGGAAUUCCCAGUGUAGCGGUGAAAUGCGUAGAUAUUGGGAGGAACACCAGUGGCGAAGGCGGCCUGCUGGACAUUAACUGACGCUGAGGCGCGAAAGCGUGGGGAGCAAACAGG